rnacentral:rRNA from 1 species
UGCCUUAGUAACGGCGAGUGAAGCGGCAACAGCUCAAAUUUGAAAGCUGGCCCUUUCAGGGUCCGCGUUGUAAUUUGUAGAGGAUGAUUCGGCGAGGGCUCCCGCCUAAGUCCCCUGGAACGGGGCGUCAUAGAGGGUGAGAAUCCCGUAUGCGGUGGGCUGCCUUAGCCAUGUGAAUCUCCUUCGACGAGUCGAGUUGUUUGGGAAUGCAGCUCUAAAUGGGAGGUAAAUUUCUUCUAAAGCUAAAUACCGGCCAGAGACCGAUAGCGCACAAGUAGAGUGAUCGAAAGAUGAAAAGCACUUUGGAAAGAGAGUUAAAAAGUACGUGAAAUUGUUGAAAGGGAAGCGCUUGCAACCAGACUUGUCCGCAGUUGCUCAGCCGGUCUCCUGACCGGCGUACUCUUCUGCGGCCAGGCCAGCAUCAGUUCGGGCGGUCGGAUAAAGACCUCGGGAAUGUGGCUCCUCUCGGGGAGUGUUAUAGCCCGGGGUGGAAUGCGGCCAGCCUGGACUGAGGAUCUCGCUUCGGCAAGGAUGCUGGCGUAAUGGUUGUAAGCGGCCCGUCUUGAAACACGGACCAAGGAGUCUAACAUCUAUGCGAGUGUUUGGGUGUCAAACCCAUACGCGUAAUGAAAGUGAACGGAGGUGGGAACCCGCAAGGGCGCACCAUCGGCCGAUCCUGAUGUCUUCGGAUGGAUUUGAGCAAGAGCAUAGCUGUUGGGACCCGAAAGAUGGUGAACUAUGCCUGAAUAGGGUGAAGCCAGAGGAAACUCUGGUGGAGGCUCGCAGCGGUUCUGACGUGCAAAUCGAUCGUCAAAUUUGGGUAUAGGGGCGAAAGACUAAUCGAA